AAAAAAAAACACGUGAGUAACCUGCCCUUGACUUUGGGAUAACUUCAGGAAACUUGGGCUAAUACCGGAUAGGAGCUCCUGCUGCAUGGUGGGGGUUGGAAAGUUUCGGCGGUUGGGGAUGGACUCGCGGCUUAUCAGCUUGUUGGGUGGGUAGUGUCUUACCAAGGCUUUGACGGGUAGCCGGCCUGAGAGGGUGACCGGCAACAGUGGGACGGAGAUAACGCCCAGACUCCUAAGGGAGUCAGCAGUCGGGAAUCUUGCACAAUGGGCGGAAGCCUUAUGUAGUCACGUUUUUUUUUUUAAAUGGUCCGGCGACCACCGAAAUCUACACUCGUU
rnacentral:rRNA from 1 species